ensembl:miRNA Mir3106 microRNA 3106
AGGGAAGCACAGGUGGCUCAUUUAGAAGCAGCCAUACACUCAGAGAGUGGCUGCCUAUACAUGGGCUUUCCUGUGCUCCUCU